GACGAACGCUGGCGGCGUGCCUAAUACAUGCAAGUUGAACGCUUGAUUUUCACCGAAGCUUGCUUCGCCGAAAAUCAAGAGUAGCGAACGGGUGAGUAACGCGUGGGUAACCUACCUUUCAGCGGGGGAUAACUAUUGGAAACGAUAGCUAAUACCGCAUAACAAUGUUGGAUGCAUAUUCGACAUUUGAAAGUACCAACUGGUACACUGAGAGAUGGACCCGCGUUGUAUUAGCUAGUUGGUAGUGUAAUGGACUACCAAGGCGAUGAUACAUAGCCGACCUGAGAGGGUGAUCGGCCACAUUGGGACUGAGACACGGCCCAAACUCCUACGGGAGGCAGCAGUAGGGAAUCUUCGGCAAUGGACGAAAGUCUGACCGAGCAACGCCGCGUGAGUGAAGAAGGUUUUCGGAUCGUAAAACUCUGUUGUUAGAGAAGAACGUUGCAUAGAGUGGAAAAUUAUGCAAGUGACGGUAUCUAACCAGAAAGGGACGGCUAACUACGUGCCCAGCAGCCGCGGUAAAUACGUAGGUCCCGAGCGUUGUCCGGAUUUAUUGGGCGUAAAGCGAGCGCAGGUGGUUUAAUAAGUCUGAUGUAAAAGGCAGUGGCUCAACCAUUGUGUGCAUUGGAAACUGUUAGACUUGAGUGCAGUAGAGGAGAGUGGAAUUCCCAUGUGUAGCGGUGAAAUG
rnacentral:rRNA from 1 species